rnacentral:SRP_RNA from 1 species
GCCGCGGGUAAAGCCCUGGGGGGCUGGCCCUCCCCUGUGACCGCAAAUCGGGCCAUACGGCGGGGGGCGUUAACUCCCUACUCAGGCUCCCCUCUUCACUGAGGGAGGGAGACCUCUGUGGGUAUGAACUCCGGUCCCACGGGGUUGCCGGCGGGUAGCAACACCUCUCGUAGGAGAGGCGCCUACCCUUGCCGCGCCGUACCGGGUUAGGCCCUGGCGGGAGCAGCCCUAGGCGCGGACGGCAACGUUCGUGGGGUGCCGGAGCAGACCCACAUGUCUCCUAACCCUCAGUGAAUGGGAGUCGAGGUAGGGGGGACGCCGCGGC